rnacentral:rRNA from 1 species
UGGGGAAUUUUGGACAAUGGGGGAAACCCUGAUCCAGCCAUCCCGCGUGUGCGAUGAAGGCCUUCGGGUUGUAAAGCACUUUUGGCAGGAAAGAAACGUCGCGGGUUAAUACCCCGCGAAACUGACGGUACCUGCAGAAUAAGCACCGGCUAACUACGUGCCAGCAGCCGCGGUAAUACGUAGGGCUGCAAGCGUUAAUCGGAAUUACUGGGCGUAAAGCGUGCGCAGGCGGUUCGGAAAGAAAGAUGUGAAAUCCCAGAGCUUAACUUUGGAACUGCAUUUUUAACUACCGGGCUAGAGUGUGUCAGAGGGAGGUGGAAUUCCGCGUGUAGCAGUGAAAUGCGUAGAUAUGCGGAGGAACACCGAUGGCGAAGGCAGCCUCCUGGGAUAACACUGACGCUCAUGCACGAAAGCGUGGGGAGCAAACAGGAUUAGAUACCCUGGUAGUCCACGCCCUAAACGAUGUCAACUAGCUGUUGGGGCCUUCGGGCCUCGGUAGCGCAGCUAACGCGUGAAGUUGACCGCCUGGGGG